rnacentral:rRNA from 1 species
AUUGAACGCUGGCGGCAGGCUUAACACAUGCAAGUCGAGCGGGGUGAUGGUGCUUGCACUAUCACUUAGCGGCGGACGGGUGAGUAAUGCUUAGGAAUCUGCCUAUUAGUGGGGGACAACAUCUCGAAAGGGAUGCUAAUACCGCAUACGUCCUACGGGAGAAAGCAGGGGAUCACUUGUGACCUUGCGCUAAUAGAUGAGCCUAAGUCGGAUUAGCUCGUUGGUGGGGUAAAGGGCUACCAAGGCGACGAUCUGUAGCGGGUCUGAGAGGAAUAUCCGCCACACUUGGACUAAAGCACCGCCCAGACUCCUACCGGAAGCAACAGUUGGGAAUAUUGGACAAUGGGGGGAACCCUGAUCCAGCCAUGCCGCGUGUGUGAAGAAGGCCUUAUGGUUGUAAAGCACUUUAAGCGAGGAGGAGGCUCUUUUGGUUAAUACCCAAGAUGAGUGGACGUUACUCGCAGAAUAAGCACCGGCUAACUCUGUGCCAGCCGCCGCCGUAA